ACCAUUUUAGUGACUAGGAAGGAACGUGGUCAGCUGCCUGAGAAAGUCUUCAGCCUCAGGAAUGGAAUGAAACCUGGAGCUUCUGACCUGAAACUUAGUCCAUCAUCACUGAAAGCAGGGACAGAGGAAGUCCACUUACCACCGCGCGGAAGAAGUCCAGCUACCCUGAGGCAGACGUGUGUGGGGAUGGAGUCCCGAGGAGCCCUGAGUGUUGGAGUCUUCCCAGACAUGGGGUGAAAAAUCUGUGAGAUUCCAGCUCCUGCUCACAUCUGCCUGCACCUGCGGAAGGCUGCCUAGCAAACCCCAUUAAACGCCGGACUCAUUUGCAAAA